rnacentral:rRNA from 1 species
CGUAACUGACGCUGAGGAGCGAAAGCGUGGGGAGCGAACAGGAUUAGAUACCCUGGUAGUCCACGCCGUAAACGGUGGGUGCUAGUUGUGGGCCACAUUCCACGUGGUCCGUGACGAAGUUAACACAUUAAGCACCCCGCCUGGGGAGUACGGUCGCAAGACUAAAACUCAAAGGAAUUGACGGGGGCCCGCACAAGCGGCGGAGCAUGCGGAUUAAUUCGAUGCAACGCGAAGAACCUUACCAAGACUUGACAUAUAGUAGAAAAGCGUAGAAAUACGCUCCCCGCAAGGCUGCUAUACAGGUGGUGCAUGGUUGUCGUCAGCUCGUGUCGUGAGAUGUUGGGUUAAGUCCCGCAACGAGCGCAACCCUCGUCCUAUGUUGCCAGCACGUAAUGGUGGGAACUCAUGGGAGACUGCCGGGGUCAACUCGGAGGAAGGUGGGGAUGACGUCAAAUCAUCAUGCCCCUUAUGUCUUGGGCUUCACGCAUGCUACAAUGGCCGAUACAAAGGGCUGCGAUACCGCAAGGUGGAGCGAAUCCCAUAAAGUCGGUCUCAGUUCGGAUUGGGGUCUGCAACUCGACCCCAUGAAGUCGGAGUCGCUAGUAAUCGUAGAUCAGCAACGCUACGGUGAUACGUUCCCGGGCCUUGUACACACCGCCCGUCAAGUCACGAAAGUCGGUAACACCCGAAGCCGGUGGCCUAACCGUAA